GUAGGUGAACCUGCGGAAGGAUCAUUACAGAGAACAUCGCCCGCGAGGGUGACUCUCCAACCCUAUGUUAAUUAUACCUUUGUUGCUUUGGCGAGCCGCUCCGGCCACCGGCUUCUAGCUGGUGAGUGCUCGCCAGAGGACCCUAAACUCUGUUUAUACAUGUCGUCUGAGUACUAUAUAAUAGUUAAAACUUUCAACAACGGAUCUCUUGGUUCUG
rnacentral:misc_RNA from 1 species